UGGCCUUGACAUGUCUGGAAGACCGUAGAGAUAUGGUUGUGCCCGAAGGGAACCAAAACACAGGUGCUGCAUGGCUGUCGUCAGCUCGUGUCGUGAGAUGUUGGGUUAAGUCCCGCAACGAGCGCAACCCUUGUCCUUAGUUGCCAGCACUUCGGGUGGGCACUCUAAGGAGACCGCCGGUGACAAACCGGAGGAAGGUGGGGAUGACGUCAAGUCAUCAUGGCCUUUAUGGCCAGGGCUA
rnacentral:rRNA from 1 species